AUUUAUCUAAUAUAACAAGAGUAUACUUGACUUCCAAUCAAGAAGUUUGCGAAAGCAAGAUAAAUA
rnacentral:tRNA from 9 species